AGGCAACAUAUCCGUAUUAUAACCACAAAUAAACAUUCGAGAAUAAACAAAAACUGAUAUAAAAGAAGUGGAGAUGUGAAGCUUGAAACAUUCUACCAAGAUGGCAAAAUACAUGUUAGCUUUUGUGCUUCUCCAACUUGUUCUAAUUAAAGAUAUUCUUUGUUGCAGCUGCGGUUGUGGUAAAUCUGAUAAUCCUCCGAGUGAUUUUAGCUCGGAUUUUGCUCCUCCUCUUGCUCCACUUCCUCCUCUUCCUAGUUAUGACCCAGCUCCCUCCAAAUUGUACAAUGACGAUUUCAUCCCUUCCGUAAGAAUCCAGAAACCGAUAUGUUAUUCUCCUCCACCUCCUCCACUUCCAGCACCGAUUCCACCGCCAUCAGUUUGCAAGGAAUUGGGCUUUUUAUCACCUUCAUUCUUUGCACCCCCAACACCUUCAUGUCAUUGUGGUGGAGGCGCAUUAUUGCCUGUUUUAAGGAGAAAAGUUAGACCACCACCCUGUCUGCCUAAACCAAGUUGCCUUAGCCAAAAAUUAGCCUCAUUGAUGAAUAUGCGUAACUGCGGUGGUCUAGGACUGGGAUUCAAUUUAACUCCUUUGACCCCUGUACGAAAUUAUGGGUGCGGUUGCAAUCGCUGAUGUUAUUGUAAAUCAAUAGUUAAUAAAAUUUUAUUUUGUA